CCAACGGCUCUUUUCAGAGCCACCCAAAAGAUCUCUAAAAACAGCUG
rfam:Erinaceus europaeus unplaced genomic scaffold scaffold00740, whole genome shotgun sequence